AGCACGUACAGAAAAGCUCAUUUCUAUGAACUCACUUUUAACAGUUUGCUUUAUUUAGGUUUCAACCCUAACGCCUCCCGAACCCUGCCGUCCGGGUGUCUCUGCAUUUUAGCGUUGCCCGGGCCCUACGAACCGUUUGGAGCCGGUGGAGGAGGUGCUCUGGCUUGGGCUUCAUCCCAGAAAAAUUAUUCUGCAUCUCCAAAGGCCUCAUAAAUCUGCUUCCCAGAUGGAAAUCUCCAUCAAAGGUUCCUGUCUUUGUGCAAGUCUCAAAUUUCCCUUCAAUUUAAAUUCAACAAAUGAAUAAUCAAGUGGAUGAGCCAAGUGGGCAGCAGGUGAUUCCUCGAGAAGAGACAGCAAGGAUAAGCUGAAGGCCUUUAAACAACACACAGCCUUGAAGAUGAGGUCUUGCUCAGGACUGGUCUUGAACUCCUGGACUCAAGUGAUGCUCCCACUGCCGCCUCUCAAAGUGCUGGGAUUGCAGGUGUGAGUCAUCUGGCCUCAAGUGAUCUUCCUACCUCAGCUUCCUAAAGUGUUGGAUUACUGGUGUGAGCCAUCAUGCCUGGCCUCUUAUUUGCAUUUGAUUGACAAUCACAGUAUUCCUUUGCAGCAGGCAGGCUUCUCCCAGAAGGCCAGCAAGAGGAAUGGCAAGGGAGCAGGACCCUGCUUCACACCAGCUACAUUUCUGAUCAGCCCAAGACAACUCACAACCAGCAGACAACAUGGCAGCCACUAGCAAAACUUCAGGGUGAAAAGAAUGACCCAAAUUGGCUAAAUGGGAGCUAUGAGGACCUGAAAUAAAACAGAGUAUCAUUUUUCUCUCUCUAGCCA
rnacentral:lncRNA from 13 species